UGCCGCCUGCCCAGUGAAUUCAUUUUAACGGCCGCGGUAUCCUAACCGUGCAAAGGUAGCGUAAUCACUUGUCCUCUAAUUAAGGACUAGUAUGAACGGCUAAAUGAGGGCCCAACUGUCUCGCACGACCACCCAAUGAACCUGAUCCCCCAGUACAAAAGCUGGGAUACCCACACAAGACGAGAAGACCCUGUGGAACUUUCAACCUCCCUGCCGAGUAUAACCCAACCAACCAACAGGUUGCCACACCCACCCUACCAUCAGCAGGAACUUUAAGUUGGGGCAACUACGGAGUAAAACGAAACCUCCGCGAACCAGUCCCUAAGGCAUACCUGCCAAGGAACCAGUACAACCCUAGACCCAGUAAUACUGACCAUCGAACCAAGCUACCCCAGGGAUAACAGCGCAAUCCCCUUCAAGAGUCCCUAUCGCCAAGGGGGCUUACGACCUCGAUGUUGGAUCAGGGCCCCCCAGUGGUGCAGCCGCUA
rnacentral:rRNA from 1 species